CGUAGGGUGCGAGCGUUAAUCGGAAUUACUGGGCGUAAAGCGUGCGCAGGCGGUUUUGUAAGACAGGCGUGAAAUCCCCGGGCUCAACCUGGGAACUGCGCUUGUGACUGCAAGGCUAGAGUACGGCAGAGGGGGGUGGAAUUCCACGUGUAGCAGUGAAAUGCGUAGAGAUGCGGAGGAACACCAAUGGCGAAGGCAGCCCCCUGGGUCGAUACUGACGCUCAUGCACGAAAGCGUGGGUAGCAAACAGGAUUAGAUACCCUGGUAGUCCACGCCCUAAACGAUGUCAACUAGGUGUUGGGUGGGUAAAACCAUUUAGUACCGGAGCUAACGCGUGAAGUUGACCGCCUGGGGAGUACGGCCGCAAGGUUA
rnacentral:rRNA from 1 species